AUUCCAUAUGGAGGGGUUGUUUCCUUUUUCAUCCUUUCCCCCUUCUUUUCACCCUAAAAUGGCAUAAAAGAUGGGUCUUAUAAAUUGGAUAAUCACUGAUCAAAAGAUAGUUAAAAUCUCUUCUUUUCCAUUUAGCCAUAUGUUGCUGAAAUGCAGAUGAAAUACAACUUACAGAAUAAGAAGAAACAAUCAAAUCAAGUCUAAUAGAAAAUAACCCACUGCCUUCCAAAAUUCUUGAAGUAAUUUUUUCUGAGUCAGAGAUUAUGUUCUGCUACUACCUGGAUAAGAAAACACCGAACAAAUUCAGCACCUACAGGACCACUCAGUGUGAUGGUCAUAACUAAUGUGACACCUGAGUUGAAUCCAUCCCGACUCCACAUAUACCCUGGAGC
rnacentral:lncRNA from 1 species